rnacentral:rRNA from 1 species
GGGCAUCGGUGACAGGUGGUGCAUGGUUGUCGUCAGCUCGUGUCGUGAGAUGUUGGGUUAAGUCCCGCAACGAGCGCAACCCUUGUUAUUAGUUUCCAUCAUUUAGUUGGGCACUCUAGGGUGACUGCCGGUGAUAAACCGGAGGAAGGUGGGGAUGACGUCAAAUCAUCAUGCCCCUUAUGACCUGGGCUACACACGUGCUACAAUGGUUGAUACAAACGGUCGCGAAUUCGCGAGAGCGAGCUAAUCUUAUAAAGCCAUUCUCAGUUCGGAUUGUAGGCUGCAACUCGCCUACAUGAAGUCGGAAUCGCUAGUAAUCGCGGAUCAGCAUGCCGCGGUGAAUACGUUCCCGGGCCUUG